rnacentral:tRNA from 1 species
GGCUCAUAGCUCAGCUGGUAGAGCAGCUCCCUUUUAAGGAGAUGGUCGCAGGUUCUGCGCCA